CCUGGUUGAUCCUGCCAGUAGUCAUACGCUCGUCUCAAAGAUUAAGCCAUGCAUGUCUAAGUAAAAAUAACUCUUUACUGUGAAACUGCGAACGGCUCAUUAUAUCAGUUAUAGUUUACUUGAUAGUACCUACUUGGAUACCCGUAGUAAUUCUAGAGCUAAUACAUGCAUCAACGCCCAAUCGGGCCGCGUUUAUUAGAUAGAAACCCAUAUUUUUGGUGAAUCAUAAUAACUGUGCGAAUCGCAUGGGUUUACCCCGGCGAUGAAUCAAUCAAGUUUCUGCCCUAUCAGCUUUCGAUGGUAGGGUAUUGGCCUACCAUGGCGUUAACGGGUAACGGAGAAUUAGGGUUCGAUUCCGGAGAGGGAGCCUGAGAAACGGCUACCACAUCUAAGGAAGGCAGCAGGCGCGUAAAUUACCCAAUCCUGACACCGGGAGGUAGUGACAAUAAAUAACAAUGCCGGGCUUUUUUAAGUCUGGCAAUUGGAAUGAGAACAAUUUAAAUCCCUUAACGAGGAUCAAUUGGAGGGCAAGUCUGGUGCCAGCAGCCGCGGUAAUUCCAGCUCCAAUAGCGUAUAUUAAUGUUGUUGCAGUUAAAAAGCUCGUAGUUGGAUUUCUGGUGGGAGCGGCCGGUCCGCCGCAAGGUGUGUACUUGGUUGUCUCCUGUCAUCCUUGUGGGAACUGCUCUGGCAUUAAGUUGUCGGGGUUAGGUAACACAUCGUUUACUGUGAAAAAAUUAGAGUGUUUAAAGCAGGCUUAUGCCGUUGAAUACAUUAGCAUGGAAUAAUAAGAUAGGACUUUGGCGUCUAUUUUGUUGGCUUGCACACCAAGGUAAUGAUUAAUAGGGAUAGUUGGGGGUAUUCGUAUUUAAUUGUCAGAGGUGAAAUUCUUGGAUUUAUGAAAGACGAACUUCUGCGAAAGCAUUUACCAAAGAUGUUUUCAUUAAUCAAGAACGAAAGUUAGGGGAUCGAAGAUGAUUAGAUACCAUCGUAGUCUUAACCAUAAACUAUGCCGACUAGGGAUUGGCGGUCGUUCAUUUAUGACUCCGUCAGCACCUUAUGAGAAAUCAAAGUCUUUGGGUUCCGGGGGGAGUAUGGUCGCAAGGCUGAAACUUAAAGGAAUUGACGGAAGGGCACCACCAGGAGUGGAGCCUGCGGCUUAAUUUGACCCAACACGGGGAAACUUACCAGGUCCAGACAUAGUAAGGAUUGACAGAUUGAGAGCUCUUUCUUGAUUCUAUGGGUGGUGGUGCAUGGCCGUUCUUAGUUGGUGGAGUGAUUUGUCUGGUUAAUUCCGUUAACGAACGAGACCGUCGCCUGCUAAAUAGUUACGCGAAUGGCUUCGGCCAUUGGUGGGCAGCUUCUUAGAGGGACUUUUGGUGUUUAACCAAAGGAAGCUGGCGGCAAUAACAGGUCUGUGAUGCCC
rnacentral:rRNA from 1 species